GCAGCCGGUCCACACGGGGAAGAGAGAGGGGAGUCACUUGGAUUUUAUUUCCCACCCCAAGCCUCCAUCCCCCAGAAGGCACAGCCAAGUGGUCGGAGGGCAGCUUUCCCGAGAGAAGAGCCCCCUUGCUCACGGGGCUGAGGGGCAGAGCCGGAAGGGCCCCUGCCUGCAGAAGGCGCCUUUCCCCCCCAUCCCCGAGCAGGAGGCCUGCAGGUCUCCCAAGAGGCGGUGGUUCGCCCCUUGACUCCGAGUGGGCAAACAGCCGUUUCAGCCCCAGUUAGCAAUCCAGAGCAGAGCUGUACGCAGGCACCCUUGCUAACUGCUUUGCUGGCAUUGGCUCGUCUAAUGAGGACAAAGACAACAGCACCCCAAGUCCUCCAGACACAGGACCUAGCAACCCGUGGCCCGGAAACGCUCCCCGACCCCUACCUUGGGGCUCUUGCUGCAUCUUAGGCUAACUUCCCCUGAGCUGCAUCUCGGAAGGAGAAGGAAAAGGCUGAUCUUCCUGCUCCAGCUAGCCCAGGGCCAGCACACAGGAGGCACUCCUGGCUGAACUGGAUUCGACAAGAGUGGUGGAGAACGUGUCCUGCCCCCCUGACGCCAUCCCGCUCCUCCUCCCAGGACUCCCCUCAGCCCUGCCUGUCUGAUCUGGGCAGCGAAUGUUGGACGUGCCUCAGCAGGGCGGGUCCGCUGUGGCUCCCAGGCUGAGCAGAUGUGAGUCUUUUCCAUGUGGAUGGUUUGUCUCCCCAGAGAGAUAGUCUCGUACAGAGAAGCACAAAGUAUACAUCUCUUUGCUUUUA